CCCUUAGAUGUUCUGGGCCGCACGCGCGCUACACUGAUGCAUUCAACGAGCCUAUCCUUGACCGACAGGUCCGGGUAAUCUUUGAAUCUGCAUCGUGACGGGGAUAGAUUAUUGCAAUUAUUAAUCUUCAACGAGGAAUGCCUAGUAGGCGCAAGUCAUCAGCUUGCGUCGAUUACGUCCCUGCCCUUUGUACACACCGCCCGUCGCUCCUACCGAUUGGGUGUGCUGGUGAAAUGUUCGGCUCGGCCGUUUGUCGCGGUUUCCGCGUCAUGUGGCUGAGAAGUUCAUUAAACCCUCCCACCUAGAGGAAGGAGAAGUCGUAACA
rnacentral:rRNA from 1 species